rnacentral:lncRNA from 1 species
GGGGAAACUGCCCCCACGAUUCAAUUAUCUCCCACCAGAUCCCUCCUACAACACAUGAGAAUUGUGGGUGCUACAAUUCAAGAUGAGAUUUGAGUGGGGACAAAGUCAAACCAUAUCAUUAGAUAGGACACUGGAGAAAGGCAAGAAAGAAAAGACAUCUGAAGAAUGAAGGGAGCCAAAGAAAUGCCAACAUUUUGCUUUUUGAAGAAAAGCUAAAUUAAAGUCAAAAUGGAUUUAUCAAUUUCUUUGGGUUCGUGAAUGUACAGAACUUUAUUAACUCUAUUUAUCUGGAAUUAAUGCUACACCAUCUGACAUAUUAAGGAGUUAUGCAUCAUGUAUCAGUAGUUACAUCUUCCAGUGCCUCCUACAGUUGCCCCUGAUGGUAUAUCUACUCGAAAGUAACUGUCAUGCUGUCAUCAUGGCUGGAUCUGAUACGGCCACCGUGGACCUUGAGGUGACCUUGGGAAUGGAGACAGUGCAUGGGAUAGAAUCGCAUUGGAAGGGGCCUGGGUUCCUGAAGACGCUGUGAGACAGAUCUCCUUGCAGCCCUGACUGCCCACAUUAGGGCUUUUCUGUUAGGGUGAAGUUACCUUGCAUUGUCAUAUAAGCAAUUGCUAUUUGUGGUGUCUUGCAAAUAAACCUAUU